rnacentral:rRNA from 1 species
UACGUAGGGGGGCAAGCGUUGUCCGGAUUUAUUGGGCGUAAAGAGCGUGUAGGCGGCCAGGUAGGUCGGUUGUGAAAACUGGAGGCUCAACCUUCAAACGUCGACCGAAACCCCCUGGCUAGAGUCCGGAAGAGGAGAGUGGAAUUCCUGGUGUAGCGGUGAAAUGCGCAGAUAUCAGGAAGAACACCCGUGGCGAAGGCGGGUCUCUAGGCCGACACUGACGCUGAGGAGCGAAAGCGUGGGGAGCGAACAGG